GGGGAUGUAGCUCAGUGGUUCAGUAGCCUGCCUUGCAAGCACAAGGACCUGAGUUCGAUCCCCAGUACCCCCC
rnacentral:tRNA from 1 species